UUUUUUUUUUAUUACUGGUGAGUUUUCUCAUCUCCAUGAAAUGUCUAGCAAUUAGCGUCUUCUCUUUCUUUUUCUUUUCUUUCUCUUGUUGGUUCAUUUAGUUAUUGUUUCAUUGUAGAGAUAGAUAGAUAGAUAGAUAGAUAGAUAGAUACUUUAUUGAUCCCCAGGGGAAGCUUAUGUGUAAAAAAAGUUUUACUUGUAUUUUUCUUUUGGCUAACAUACUUAUUGAGUGCAGCCCUUGGAGGGAGGCCCAAGAUCUGCCACGCCUUCUACACCUGAUUGUGAUUCUUUUUUCACAUAAUGGGCGCUCCUGUCCAUGCUAUGCAAGGACUCUGAGGAAGAUACAUGAAGCAUCGAAACGUUAUUAAAAGAAUGACUCAGGUUCCUGAGGAGCUGACCUGAAUGACCAUUAUGGCCUCAAUCCGUUGUGCCUCUAUAUUCUUUGCAAAAUGCAAUGAAUAUUUACAGAGCUGACCAUGGCCGUUUGAGAAUCAGAGGAAUGGAAAGGCAAUGAAGUGACUUGGACA